GGGAGUAUAGCUCAGUGGUAGAGCGUUCGACUGAAGAUCAAGAGGUCCCCGGUUCGAAUCCGGGUAUUUUCU
rnacentral:tRNA from 1 species